ensembl:miRNA
UGGCUCUAUGUUGUCCUCAUUGUACAUGCUGUGUGUAUUUUUAUUACAUACACAGCGCAUGCAAUGUGGACAUAAUGGAGAUCA